AACGCACAUUGCGCCCUCUGGUAUUCCGGGGGGCAUGCCUGUUCGAGCGUCAUUACAACCCUCAAGCUCUGCUUGGUAUUAGGCUUCACCCUCAGGGGUGGGCUUUAAAAUCAGUGGCGGUGCCAUUCGGCUUCAAGCGUAGUAAUUUUUCUCGCUUUGGAAGUCCGGCUGUGUGCCUGCCAGCAACCCCAAUUUUUUAAAGGUUGACCUCGGAUCAGGUAGGGAUACCCGCUGAACUUAA
rnacentral:misc_RNA from 1 species